CCUACGGGAGGCUGCAGUGGGGAAUAUUGGACAAUGGGGGGAACCCUGAUCCAGCCAUGCCGCGUGUGUGAAGAAGGCCCUCGGGUUGUAAAGCACUUUCAGUGAGGAAGAACGCCUGGUGGUUAAUACCCAUCAGGAAAGACAUCACUCACAGAAGAAGCACCGGCUAACUCCGUGCCAGCAGCCGCGGUAAUACGGAGGGUGCGAGCGUUAAUCGGAAUUACUGGGCGUAAAGCGCGCGUAGGUGGCUUGAUAAGCCGGUUGUGAAAGCCCCGGGCUCAACCUGGGAACGGCAUCCGGAACUGUCAAGCUAGAGUGCAGGAGAGGAAGGUAGAAUUCCCGGUGUAGCGGUGAAAUGUGUAGAGAUCGGGAGGAAUACCAGUGGCGAAGGCGGCCUUCUGGACUGACACUGACACUGAGGUGCGAAAGCGUGGGUAGCAAACAGGAUUAGAUACCCCUGUAGUC
rnacentral:rRNA from 1 species